GUGACCGAGCGACGCCGCGUGUGCGAUGAAGUCCUUCGGGGCGUAAAGCACUGUCGGCAGGGAAGAAGAUUUGGGAGGUGUCCCUCUCAAAAUUGACGGUACCUGCAAAGGAAGCGCCGGCUAACUCCGUGCCAGCAGCCGCGGUAAUACGGAGGGCGCAAGCGUUGUUCGGAUUUAUUGGGCGUAAAGGGCGCGUAGGUGGGCAAGCAAGUCCGAUGUGAAAUCUUCACCGCUCAACGGGAAGAGGCCAUUGGAAACUACUUGUCUUGAGGCCGGUAGAGGAUAACGGAAUUCCUGGUGUAGCGGUGGAAUGCGUAGAUAUCAGGAAGAACACCGAUUGCGAAGGCGGUUAUCUGGGCCGGUCCUGACACUGAGGCGCGAAAGCCAGGGGAGCAAACGGGAUUAGAUACCCCGGUAGUCCUGGCCGUAAACGAU
rnacentral:rRNA from 1 species